GGGGGGGGCAAGCGUUGUUCGGAAUUACUGGGCGUAAAGGGCUCGUAGGCGGCCAACUAAGUCGGAUGUGAAAUCCCCAGGCUUAACCUGGGAACUGCAUCCGAUACUGGAUGGCUUGAAUCCGGGAGAGGGAUGCAGAAUUCCAGGUGUAGCGGUGAAAUGCGUAGAUAUCUGGAGGAAUACCGGUGGCGAAGGCGGCAUCCUGGACCGGCAUUGACGCUGAUGAGCGAAAGCUAGGGGAGCAAACGGGAUUAGAUACCCCGGUAGUCCUAGCCCUAAACGAUGAAUGCUUGGUGUGACGGGUAUCGAUCCCUGUCGUGCCGAAGCUAACGCAUUAAGCAUUCCGCCUGGGGAGUACGGUCGCAAGGCUG
rnacentral:rRNA from 1 species